CUCAGGAUGAACGCUAGCGACAGGCUUAACACAUGCAAGUCGAGGGGCAGCGGGGGAGUGGCAACACUUCCGCCGGCGACCGGCGCACGGGUGAGUAACACGUAUGAAACCUGCCCGCAGCAGGGGGAUAAGCGGAAGAAAUUCCGUCUAAUACCGCGUAACAACCGACGGGGGCAUCCCUGUUGGUUCAAAGGAGCGAUCCGGCUGCGGAUGGUCAUGCGGCGCAUUAGCUAGUUGGCGGGGCAACGGCCCACCAAGGCGACGAUGCGUAGGGGUUCUGAGAGGAAGGUCCCCCACACUGGUACUGAGACACGGACCAGACUCCUACGGGAGGCAGCAGUGAGGAAUAUUGGUCAAUGGCCGAGAGGCUGAACCAGCCAAGUCGCGUGAGGGAUGACGGCCCUACGGGUUGUAAACCUCUUUUGCCGGGGAGCAAAGAGCGGGACGCGUCCCGCCUCGAGAGUACCCGGAGAAAAAGCAUCGGCUAACUCCGUGCCAGCAGCCGCGGUAAUACGGAGGAUGCGAGCGUUAUCCGGAUUUAUUGGGUUUAAAGGGUGCGCAGGCGGAAGCGCAAGUCAGCGGUAAAAUUGAGAGGCUCAACCUCUUCCCGCCGUUGAAACUGCGUUUCUUGAGUGGGCGAGAAGUACGCGGAAUGCGUGGUGUAGCGGUGAAAUGCAUAGAUAUCACGCAGAACUCCGAUUGCGAAGGCAGCGUACCGGCGCCCAACUGACGCUCAUGCACGAAAGCGUGGGUAUCGAACAGGAUUAGAUACCCUGGUAGUCCACGCAGUAAACGAUGAAUACUCGCUGUCCGGGGAGAUUGGUCUCUGGGCGGCCAAGCGAAAGCGUUAAGUAUUCCACCUGGGGAGUACGCCGGCAACGGUGAAACUCAAAGGAAUUGACGGGGGCCCGCACAAGCGGAGGAACAUGUGGUUUAAUUCGAUGAUACGCGAGGAACCUUACCCGGGCUCAAACGUAGCAGGAAUAACUGAGAAAUCAGUUAGUUCUCCGGAACCUGCUACGAGGUGCUGCAUGGUUGUCGUCAGCUCGUGCCGUGAGAUGUUGGGUUAAGUCCCGCAACGAGCGCAACCCCUAUUGUUAGUUGCUACGCAAGAGCACUCUAGCGAGACUGCCGUUGACAAAACGGAGGAAGGCGGGGACGACGUCAAAUCAUCAUGCCCCUUAUGUCCUGGGCUACACACGUAAUACAAUGGCGGUUAACAAAGGGAUGCAAAGCCGCGAGGCAGAGCGAACCCCAAAAAGCCGUCCCAGUUCGGAUCGCAGGCUGCAACCCGCCUGCGUGAAGUCGGAAUCGCUAGUAAUCGCGGAUCAACAUGCCGCGGUGAAUACGUUCCCGGGCCUUGCACUCACCGCCCGUCAAG
rnacentral:rRNA from 1 species